GUGAAUCAUCGAAUCUUUGAACGCACAUUGCGCCUCUCGGUAUUCCGGGAGGCACGCCUGUUCGAGCGCCAUUACAAACUCCAAGCGUAGCUUGAUGUUGGUCGGUGUGUCUGCUGGGGAUUUUCCGGGAGACACAGGACUGGAACGCGUUGGCGCCGCCGCCAGACCACGAGCGUAGCAAGACGAGAGUCAAGAAUCGCAUCGGAUUGGAGCUGGCGGAGGGUGGCCUGUUUUGGAUGUUGCUUUCGCCCAUCUUGAGGUGCGUGGACAGAGAGAUUUGUUCAUGGACGAGAGAUGUGG
rnacentral:misc_RNA from 1 species